rnacentral:sRNA from 12 species
UGCCUAACCCUCGUGAGAAUAAAAUCUCCGAGGUAUGGCAGAAAAACUAUCCCUAGUAUUAAGCUCAUCGUCAGAGCACUAGGGAUAGUCAUAUCUUGAAAGAGAUGUGGGUGGCCGAGAGGUCAUC